UUAUCUUAUAAUCAAAAAAGUGUCUUAUAAUGAAAAUUUUAAUUGUAGUUUAAUAUCAAAAUGGUUUCUUGAGCUUUUGAAAUAUCAAUAGUACUGUGUCUGCAAUUUCACCUAAUUCUGAACUUUGUAAGGACUCCUAAAUGCUUCCUAGUGAGCAAAAUGUUAAAUACCACCUAUUUAAAGUACAAAAUUAUUAUGCCUGGUGUGCUCAAAUACAAUCAUUUUACAUUUUUUCACUCAGAAAAAGUACACUUUUGUAAUGACUACUCACUUUAUUUCUGAAUUUUGUCUACUCAAUUCCAUAUGAAACAAAUACAAUUGAAUUGAUCAUGUUCUCAUCACAAAAAUGAUAAUGAAAUGAAAUCUAGCUAAUUAGCUAGAUUUUUUUUAUUUCAUAAUGUAUAUAAACUUCAAAGCAUAUGGACAACAUAUAUGAUAUAUAUAUAUAUAUAUAUAUAUAUAUAUAUAUAAUUCAACAUAAGAAGCCAUUUUAAAAUAUUUUUAUAGUGUAUGCUUUAGUUUAUAUCUUAAAUGUCCCUCAAUGGCUCAUGCAUUAAAGGCUGUGACUUAGGACGCCCUGUAACUUUAAAUGGUGGCAUCAGAAGUUAGAUAUUAGCAGAAGUGCCUUAAAGGGGAUAUGUAAUUCUAAAACCCUCCACUUUUUCUCUUUGAUUUCUAGAUGCCAUGAACUGAACAUACCUCUCUGCCACAUGUUUUUCUAAGGUGUUUUGCACCACCACAGCCCCAUAUCAACAGAGCCAAUUGAAUAUGGACUGAAAUCUUUGAUGCUAUCAACUGAUUAAUCACACAUAUAAUAAUCCUGGAAAUACUGCUCCUUGAAGAGAUACUUACUUCCUACAAUACCAAAUGACUGUCAUGGAAAUAUAUGCAAACCAAAAAAUCCAAAUCCUGUAUGGUGAACUAUGCCCUUUAUUCAGCUCACACAGAUUGAAAUAAUAUCUUCCUGCUUUCCUACAAUCCAGGGCCAGCAAUUAGAGAAUUUCUACAUACCAAAGCCCUGGGCUUGUUUCACAUGGAACAAUCCUUCAUCCAGUGCCCCUGCCUCAUCUCAUCUUCACUUUCUCAAAAAAAUCACAGUAAAUUUUCUUAUCCAUGACUUUGUCAUCACUUAUUCUGCUACUUUACUAAGCCUGGUACUUUCUUGUGCAGUUCUCCAGAGAUUACAGUUCUCCUUUUUCUUUUGAAUACUAUUUAUUCAAUACCAUUAAUUUCCUUAACUACUGACCUCAUCAAAGCUGAAUAAAUUCUCCAUUUUAAAUACAUAAA